AAGUCCUAACAAGGUUUCCGUAGGUGAACCUGCGGAAGGAUCAUUAACACGUAUCCAACGUUAAAACAACACUGUGAACCUUCAUUCUUGCUCGCGUAGCCCAUGAAAGCAGCAAUCCCUGGUAAAUCAUUGACGACCAGCAGCAUUUUGAUUCAGGGACCUCUGCGAUUCAGUUACUCUCGUAUCGAUGCAAGCGACCUGACACCCCCAAGCAAUCAGAGUUCUGAAAGCGUUUUUGAUCGUGUAAGGGUGGCGCAAACACGAUCAUUGGAGGCCGACGACCGGGUCCCUGGGUCACCAUGCCCCUUAAUCACCACACUGUAACGCCGACAGGUCGCGAUAAUUCCGCUCCACAAAAAACCGAACAACUGUUAACAAUGGAUAUAUUGGUUCUCA
rnacentral:misc_RNA from 1 species